rnacentral:lncRNA from 1 species
GCUGAACUUUAAGCUAUUUGGAAAGACCUUCCGUUGGCUUGGAAUCAUGUAACGACAACAUUUGAAGUAUUUUUCUUAAACGUCAUGAACAAAUGAGUGAUUUUUGUAAAGAGGUAAGACGGGUGUAUAUAUAACUCUUGAGUCAGUAAAAUAUUUAUUUUAUUAUUCGAUUUAAAUACGUGAAAAUGAUUUGUUAAUUUGAGACAGAAUCAUAACAAUGAUAUUUUGUUAAUUAUCAAUUAUUAUAGUGCAGGUAACCAUGUAGAUACAAGUAACAAUGAUUUCGAAACUAUGAGAAUGCUAAUUGGGUUGAUAUGGUUGAACUUGAACAUGAAGAGGAUUCCAACUCUAGAACUGAA